rnacentral:snRNA from 1 species
AGCCUUGCGCAGUGGCAGUAUCGCAGCCAGUGAGGUUUAUCCGAGGCGUAGUUAUUGCUAACUAAAUUUAAGCCAUAU